rnacentral:snoRNA from 1 species
CUACAGCCAACUCAGCUGGCCGAGUUCCUCGCCUCAUGGGGGUCCAGUGUACAAUGGCUGCAAACAGCAGCUUCCUUGAUGGUGCACGCAGCCUGUUUCUUUAUGGGCUGCUCUAAGGGACCUUGGAGACGGGC